rnacentral:rRNA from 1 species
GAAAGUAAGCAAGGGCAGACGGUGGAUGCCUUGGCUCUCGGAGGCGAUGAAGGACGUGAUAAGCUGCGAUAAGCUUGGGGUAGGUGCAAAUAACCUUUGAUCCCAAGAUUUCCGAAUGGGGCAACCCGGCUGGUAGAAGGCCAGUCAUUCCGUAAGGAAGGCGAACGUGGGGAACUGAAACAUCUAAGUACCCAUAGGAGAAGAAAACAAAAGUGAUUCCGCAAGUAGUGGCGAGCGAACGCGGAACAGCCCAAACCGAUGAUGUUUAGGCAUUGUCGGGGUAGUAGGACCACGUUGUGGCAAGAGAUUAAGGAAGUAGAACGUUUUGGAACAAACGGCCGUAGACGGUGAAAGCCCAGUAUACGACUCUUUAACGAAGCCUAGUGGAAUCCUGAGUAGCGCGGAGCACGAGAAAUUCUGUGUGAAUCAGCGGGGCCCAUCCCGUAAGGCUAAAUACUCCCGAGAGACCGAUAGCGAACCAGUACUGUGAAGGAAAGGUGAAAAGCACCUCGAACAGAGGAGUGAAAUAGUCCCUGAAACCGUCUGCCUACAAGCGGUCGGAGCAACGUAAGUUGUGACGGCGUGCCUUUUGCAUAAUGAACCUACGAGUUACUUUCUCCGGCAAGGUUAAGGGCUUCAGGCCCGGAGCCGAAGCGAAAGCGAGUCUUAAUAGGGCGUGAUAGUCGGAGUGAGUAGACGCGAAACCAAGUGAUCUACCCUUGGUCAGGAUGAAGGUUGGGUAACACCAACUGGAGGUCCGAAUGGGUAUACGUUGAAAAGUGUUCCAAUGAACUGAGGGUAGGGGUGAAAGGCUAAUCAAACUUGGAGAUAGCUCGUACUCCCCGAAAUGCAUUUAGGUGCAGCCUUUAUUUAGUAUAGCAUGAGGUAGAGCGACUGAUUGGAUGCGAGGGCUUCACCGCCUAUCAAGUCCAGAUAAACUCCGAAUGCGUGCUAUAUAUUGAUAAGGAGUGAGGGCGCGGGUGCUAAGGUCCGCGUCCGAGAGGAGAAGAAUCCAGACCAUCAGCUAAGGUCCCCAAAUAACAGUUAAGUUGAACUAACGAAGUCGGACUGCAGAGACAGCUAGGAUGUUGGCUUGGAAGCAGCCAUUCAUUUAAAGAGUGCGUAACAGCUCACUAGUCGAGGAGUCCGGCGUGGAUAAUACUCGGGCAUAAACUGUUUACCGAAGCUAUGGAUGUAGAAAUACAUGGUAGGGGAGCAUUCCAACGGCGUUGAAGGUGAAGGAUGACCUUUGCUGGAGCUUUUGGAAACGCAAAUGUAGGUAUAAGUAACGAUAAAGGAGGUGAGAAACCUCCUCGCCGAAAGACUAAGGUUUCCUGAUCAACGUUAAUCGGAUCAGGGUAAGUCGGGACCUAAGGUUAAGCCGAACGGCGAUACCGAUGGAAGAAUGGUUUAAUAUUCCCAUACUACUUUAUGGAGCGAUGUGGAGACGGAGAAGUGAAAGUCCUGCCAUCUGACGGAAUAGGUGGUUGAAGAGUGUAGAUGUAGAUUCCUGUAGGCAAAUCCGCAGGGAGAGUCGACCUUGAUAGUAUGCCGCGUGCUUGCACAAGGCAAAAUGGACGUAAUCAGGCUCCCAAGAAAAUCCGCUAAGCAUAUUCAUAAAGUACCCGUACCGUAAACGGACACACGUAGUUGGGUUGAAAAUACUGAGGCGCUCGAGUGAUUCACGGUUAAGGAACUAGGCAAAUUGACCCUGUAACUUCGGGAUAAAGGGUCCCUACUGAGAGGUAGGGCGCAGAGAAUAGGUCCAGGCAACUGUUUAACAAAAACACAUGGCUGUGCGAAAUAGAAAUAUGAAGUAUACAGCCUGACACCUGCCCGGUGCUGGAAGGUUAAGAGGAGAGCUCAUCGCAAGAGAAGGCUUGAAUUGAAGCCCCAGUAAACGGCGGCCGUAACUAUAACGGUCCUAAGGUAGCGAAAUUCCUUGUCGGGUAAGUUCCGACCUGCACGAAUGGUGUAAUGAUCUGGACACUGUCUCAACCGUGAGCUCGGUGAAAUUGUAGUAUCGGUGAAGAUGCCGAUUACCCGCGAUGGGACGAAAAGACCCCGUGAACCUUUACUAUAGC